GUAGGGAAUAUUGGGCAAUGGAGGCAACUCUGACCCAGCCAUGCCGCGUGCAGGAAGACGGUCCUCUGGAUUGUAAACUGCUUUUGAAUGGGAAGAACAUACGGUUUGCGAACCGUACUGACGGUACUAUUAGAAUAAGCACCGGCUAACUCCGUGCCAGCAGCCGCGGUAAUACGGAGGGUGCAAGCGUUAUCCGGAUUUAUUGGGUUUAAAGGGUGCGUAGGCGGCCUUAUAAGUCGGUGGUUAAAGGUAGCAGCUUAACUGUUUUACAUGCCAUCGAUACUGUAGGGCUUGAGUGAUUUGGAGGUAGCUAGAAUUCCCUGUGUAGCGGUGAAAUGCAUAGAUGCGGGGAGGAAUACCGAUUGCGAAGGCAUGUUACUACGAAUUAACUGGCGCUGAGGCACGAAAGCGUGGGGAUCAAACAGGAUUAGAUACCCUGGUAGUCC
rnacentral:rRNA from 1 species